rnacentral:rRNA from 1 species
AUGGCUCAGGAUGAACGCUAGCGGCAGGCUUAACACAUGCAAGUCGAGGGGCAUCGGGAGUAGCAAUACUUGCCGGCGACCGGCGCAAGGGUGCGUAACGCGUGAGCAACAUGCCCGUAUCAGGGGGAUAAUCCAUGGAAACGUGGUCUAAUACCCCAUAGUAAUUAUGUAAGGCAUCUUAUAUAAUUUAAAGCUUUGGUGGAUACGGAUUGGCUCGCGUGACAUUAGCUAGAUGGUAAGGUAACGGCUUACCAUGGCUACGAUGUCUAGGGGUUCUGAGAGGAAGGUCCCCCCACACUGGAACUGAGACACGGUCCAGACUCCUACGGGAGGCAGCAGUGAGGAAUAUUGGACAAUGGAUGGAAAUCUGAUCCAGCCAUGCCGCGUGCAGGAAAGACGGCCCUAUGGGUUGUAAACUGCUUUUGUAUGGGAGCAAUAAGGGCUACGCGUAGUCCGAUGAGAGUACCAUACGAAUAAGCACCGGCUAACUCCGUGCCAGCCGCAGC